AGCAGCAAGGGGCACACCUGGGAGCUGUUGGACACUGAGCCACCAUGCAGCAUUGCCUCCAGCCCUCAGCUGACCCACCCUGGGCUAUCCCAGCCCCUCUGAAGGACUCAAAAUGGCCAUCAGCUUUUGCAGGUCCCUGAAUCAAUGGUGGUGGUGCAGAUGUGUGUGUGUGCUGUUUUAUUAUUUUAGACUAUAGAACGAUUUGGAAAAACUUCCAUUUUUUUUAUGUUCCCUGGAAAAGUCUAAAUGCCCCAGCUGUCAUUGGCUCCUGUGACAAAAGCUGCUGAUGAAAGGUGGGCGGUAGCCUUCUGAGGAGGAGCAGUGCCUGACACCUGUUCCAUUCACCCAGGUUUGCUGCCUGGUCAGGCCUCAUUAUUCCCUCAUCAUACUGCAUUAGCAUAGUGUAAGCCACUCCCCCGCUCCAGAACAGUUGACAAUCGUCAUGGCAACCCAGGAAGGGGCCGCGGGAGGAGGAAAAGAGAAGCAUCCCCAACUCCUAGAAGUCACCACCCCUGCCCAGAAACGAGUGUCUUGCUCCGUCUUCUUGUCACAUCGCAUUGGCUAGUGCCUCCCGUCAGUAGAUGGAACUAUCCGCAGAGCACUUCCCGCUUGGUCCUGUUUUUGAGACGAAUGCAAAUCGCUGGAUUCGCACAGUCGCAAGGCUCUCCAGUUAGAAAUUUUCUUGCAAAUAACAGAAAACUUGCCUAACAGAGACUCAAGCGAAAAGGUUUUUUUCCUGCAAUAACAAGAAAACUGGGGAUAGACGGGUAUUAGUUUAUUCCAGGUUCCACUGCAUCUCGAGUCUUCUGCUGCCUGCUGUGUUGUGGAAGUUGUCAGGAUCAAAACGGAGUUGCUGAAGUCAAAUCCUAAUGAGGUGGAGUUCGGAGGCCUUGAAGGCAGGGCGCUACGACAGGACUCACUGAGAACCACGGCCUUCGCAAAGGCCCCACAGCCUUGGGCAGAAAACACGUCUCCGGGAGCUUGUGCCCGACAGCUGUGUGUCCAAGCUCAGGCUGUUGCCUGCCCUGCUGCCUGCCGAUCCUGGUAGCCAGGAAUACACGUUUCAAAACAAUUUACAGGGGCCAAGGCUGUGGCAUAGCAGGAAAAGCUGACACCUGCUGUGCCGGCAUCCCAUAUGGUCACCAGUUUGAGUCACGGCUGCUCCCUGAUCCAGCUCUCUGCUAUGGCUUGGGAAAGCAGUGGUAGAUGGCCCAAGUCAUUGGGCUCCUGCACCCACGUGGGAGACCCAGAAGAAGCUCCUGGCUCCUGGCUUCAGAUCAGCACAGCUCCAGCCAUUGCGGCCAUCUGGAGAGUGAAUCAGCGGAUGGAAGACCUCUCUCUCCCUCUCUCUUUCUUUUUGCCUCUGCCUUUCUGUAAC